rnacentral:rRNA from 1 species
UACAGAGGUCUCAAGCAUUGUUCGGAUUCAUUGGGCGUAAAGGGUGCGUAGGCGGCGCGGUAAGUCGGGUGUGAAAUCUUGGAGCUUAACUCCGAAACUGCAUUCGAUACUGCCGUGCUUGAGGACUGGAGAGGAGACUGGAAUUUACGGUGUAGCGGUGAAAUGCGUAGAUAUCGUAAGGAAGACCAGUGGCGAAGGCGGGUCUCUGGACAGUUCCUGACGCUGAGGCACGAAGGCCAGGGGAGCAAACAGG